AGUCGAUGAAGGACGGGACUAACGCCGAUAUGCUUCGGGGAGCUGUAAGUAAGCUUUGAUCCGAAGAUUUCCGAAUGGGGAAACCCACCAUACGUAAUGGUAUGGUAUCCUUAUCUGAAUACAUAGGGUAAGGAAGACAGACCCAGGGAACUGAAACAUCUAAGUACCUGGAGGAAGAGAAAGCAAAUGCGAUUUCCUGAGUAGCGGCGAGCGAAACGGAACAUAGCCCAAACCAAGAGGCUUGCCUCUUGGGGUUGUAGGACAUUCUAUACGGAGUUACAAAGGAAUGAGGUAGACGAAGCGACCUGGAAAGGUCCGUCGUAGAGGGUAACAACCCCGUAGUCGAAACUUCGUUCUCUCUUGAAUGUAUCCUGAGUACGGCGGAACACGUGAAAUUCCGUCGGAAUCUGGGAGGACCAUCUCCCAAGGCUAAAUACUCCCUAGUGAUCGAUAGUGAACCAGUACCGUGAGGGAAAGGUGAAAAGCACCCCGGAAGGGGAGUGAAAGAGAUCCUGAAACCGUGUGCCUACAAAUAGUCAGAGCCCGUUAACGGGUGAUGGCGUGCCUUUUGUAGAAUGAACCGGCGAGUUACGAUCCCGUGCGAGGUUAAGCUGAAGAGGCGGAGCCGCAGCGAAAGCGAGUCUGAAUAGGGCGUUUAGUACGUGGUCGUAGACCCGAAACCAGGUGAUCUACCCAUGUCCAGGGUGAAGUUCAGGUAACACUGAAUGGAGGCCCGAACCCACGCAUGUUGAAAAGUGCGGGGAUGAGGUGUGGGUAGCGGAGAAAUUCCAAUCGAACCUGGAGAUAGCUGGUUCUCCCCGAAAUAGCUUUAGGGCUAGCCUUAAGUGUAAGAGUCUUGGAGGUAGAGCACUGAUUGGACUAGGGGUCCUCAUCGGAUUACCGAAUUCAGUCAAACUCCGAAUGCCAAUGACUUAUCCUUAGGAGUCAGACUGCGAGUGAUAAGAUCCGUAGUCAAAAGGGAAACAGCCCAGACCGCCAGCUAAGGUCCCAAAGUGUGUAUUAAGUGGAAAAGGAUGUGGAGUUGC
rnacentral:rRNA from 1 species